rnacentral:ncRNA from 1 species
UCUUAUCAAGAGCAGGUGGAGGGACAAGCCCGAUGAAACCCGGCAACCGGCCAGAUGCGCAGAGCCGUUCUUGCAUUCAAGGACGUAUCUGCCGCGUGCACGGUGCUAAUUCUUGCGGUAGCGGUCAGAGGACUGCUGCUGACAGAUGAGA